AAGGGAGCAUCCGUCGACAGU
rnacentral:miRNA from 5 species